AUUGAACGCUAGCGGGAUGCCUUACACAUGCAAGUCGAACGGCAGCGCGGACUUCGGUCUGGCGGCGAGUGGCGAACGGGUGAGUAAUGUAUCGGAACGUACCCCAGUAGCGGGGGACAACCACUCGAAAGAGUGGCUAAUACCGCAUACGCCCUACGGGGAAAGGGGGGAGUCGCAAGACCUCUCACUAUUGGAGCGGCCGAUAUCGGAUUAGCUAGUUGGUGGGGUAAAGGCCUACCAAGGCGACGAUCCGUAGCUGGUUUGAGAGGACGACCAGCCACACUGGGACUGAGACACGGCCCAGACUCCUACGGGAGGCAGCAGUGGGGAAUUUUGGACAAUGGGGGAAACCCUGAUCCAGCCAUUCCGCGUGUGCGAUGAAGGCCUUCGGGUUGUAAAGUCACUUUUGGCAGGAAAGAAAUACGUGUGGGUUAAUACCCUGCGCGGAUGACGGUACCUGUCAGAAUAAGCACCGGCUAACUACGUGCCAGCA
rnacentral:rRNA from 1 species